AGCUUUGCUCAGUGGCAGUGUUGUAGCCAAUGAGGUUUAUCUGAGGCGCAAUUAUUGCUAAUUGGAAAAAAAAAAAAAGGCGCCAGGGGAAGGGCCCACCAGGUGGCGGUAAUUUGCGAGGCGUGGCACAUAAG